CGGGGCGUGGCGCAGCUUGGUAGCGCACUUGGUUUGGGACCAAGGGGCCGCAGGUUCGAAUCCUGUCGCCCCGACCA
rnacentral:tRNA from 1 species